rnacentral:lncRNA from 1 species
CGCCUCUUCGCCAGAUGUCAUCUGGGAGUGUUCCAGGCUCUUCUAGAGACAGCAUGAUGAUCUAUCUUCUUGCUGGUGUUGCUGCUUUUGGUGGUUUAUUUUAUGCCUACAGAGUAGUCAGUUCACCUCGCAGCAAGUUUGUUGAAAAUACAAAUAUUCUUCGUGAGAGAGCCGAGGAUCAGGAAAGCAAUCCUUGGUCAAGAAAGGAAGGUGAUGGAGAAGAGGUGGAUGAAGUCACUGGAGCAGAGAAGGCCACGGAAGAAGCUGAUGCAGCAGCUGCUGUGGAACCUGCAGCACAGGAUGAGAGGGCUGGACCCACAGCACAGGAUGAGACUUCUGAGGUAUCCCCAGCAGCUGGAGGGGAGAAUGACUUACUGGCUCCAGAGGAAUCCCAUGCUGUGGAGGAAGCACAGCAGGAAGCUGCUGCAAACUCAGAAGCUGCUGCUAAUUUGGAACUUGCUGCUAAUUCAGAAGCUGCUGCAGUUCAAGGUUAACUUAUGAAUAUAGUUUUUGAGUGUGUGUGUGUUGUGGGUUCUAAAGCUCUGCCUCUUACAGAGCAUUAAGAAUGAGCAUCAGUGUUCCCAAUGGAGUUUGUCCUGCAGUGAAAACUAAUUCAGGCAUUAACACUGACAUAUCAUGAACAUAAGGUAAUUAAGUUUAUUAAAUCAGUGUCUCUGAAAGCAUCCCGCCUCUGGCACCAGUUACUGUCUAAAACAAGUAGAGUCAAAUGUUUUUUUCCCUACCCAUACUAUUUCUUAAGAUAAUAAGGUGAGCUUAUAAUGUGAUCAAACAGUUGUUUUAGUGAUCUAGUUCUCAAGGGUGUGUUGAGGAAUCUAAACACUUAAGUUCACUAACCAUUCCAAAGAUAUUCACACUGAAUGAUUAUAUCUGUUUUAUCAAUAUAACUUAAAGAGGACCUUGCACAGCAAAGAAAAUGCUGUCUCAGUUUUAAGGAUACAUUAGGCUAAAUUUUCACAACACAAUAAAACAUCAAAUUGUUGUUAAACA